GGCCCAAUAAUUUAGAAUUGGUGUCUUUGAGAUAAUUUGGGGAUUUUCAUAGGUAGAUGACCUAUGGGAAAGUUUUGAAAUUAAUGGGUAAGUGUGGCCUACUAAUUGAGAAUUUGUGUUUGAGAUAUUUGAAUUUAAUCUCUUUGGAAUUUUCAUGGGUAAAUGACCCAUGGGAAAAAUUGGAUGGUUUUAUACCAUUUUUCUUUUUGUCAAUGUCCUAGAAAAUUAAUGACCAAUUUUG
rnacentral:lncRNA from 1 species